rnacentral:lncRNA from 1 species
GAGUUGGACCCACAGGUAACAAAGUCAACUGAUGUAAUAGGCUCUGUGCGUGGGCCACAGCCUGCUGCUUUAGAGCUAGGAAAGCCCUAGAGGAUGGGGCAUCUAGGAAAGACACAUACUUUGGAUUUGGGACUGAGCAAUGAAGUCACAGUCAACUUAUCCAGUACUCAUGUUCUACAGACUGGUCUUCCAGAGAUAGGGCUGGCCUCAUGGCAUGUGAUGACCAUGAGGAGCUAGCCUCUGUGGUCCAGAUGCUGGACGUAGCCAAGAGCCUAAGCCAGUGAAGUAAACCCUGGUGGAAUUCACCAGAAGCCACUGGCUCACCUAUUGGUAUACAGGAUGGACGAUGACAAGACUAAGCCUGUCUCAAUGUGGGAUCUCUGAACUUACACAUACUCCAAUAAAUUGUGGAAUUACACAGCA